rnacentral:rRNA from 1 species
GAUGAACGCUGGCGGCGUGCCUAACACAUGCAAGUCGAGCGAGAAUUGCAGAAUGAAGCUUCGGCAGAUUUCUGUAAAGGAAAGCGGCGGACGGGUGAGUAACGCGUGAGUAACCUGCCCUUAGGUGGGGGAUAACACAUCGAAAGGUGUGCUAAUACCGCAUAACAUAUAUUUACCGCAUGGUAGAUAUAUCAAAGAUUUAUUGCCUAAGGAUGGACUCGCGUCUGAUUAGAAUAGUUGGUGAGGUAACGGCUCACCAAGUCGACGAUGCGUAGCCGACCUGAGAGGGUGAUCGGCCACAUUGGGACUGAGACACGGCCCAG